rnacentral:rRNA from 1 species
GAUGAACGCUGGCGGCGUGCCUAAUACAUGCAAGUCGAGCGAACGGACGAGAAGCUUGCUUCUCUGAUGUUAGCGGCGGACGGGUGAGUAACACGUGGAUAACCUACCUAUAAGACUGGGAUAACUUCGGGAAACCGGAGCUAAUACCGGAUAAUAUUUUGAACCGCAUGGUUCAAAAGUGAAAGACGGUCUUGCUGUCACUUAUAGAUGGAUCCGCGCUGCAUUAGCUAGUUGGUAAGGUAACGGCUUACCAAGGCAACGAUGCAUAGCCGACCUGAGAGGGUGAUCGGCCACACUGGAACUGAGACACGGUCCAGACUCCUACGGGAGGCAGCAGUAGGGAAUCUUCCGCAAUGGGCGAAAGCCUGACGGAGCAACGCCGCGUGAGUGAUGAAGGUCUUCGGAUCGUAAAACUCUGUUAUUAGGGAAGAACAUAUGUGUAAGUAACUGUGCACAUCUUGACGGUACCUAAUCAGAAAGCCACGGCUAACUACGUGCCAGCAGCCGCGGUAAUACGUAGGUGGCAAGCGUUAUCCGGAAUUAUUGGGCGUAAAGCGCGCGUAGGCGGUUUUUUAAGUCUGAUGUGAAAGCCCACGGCUCACCCGUGGAGGGUCAUUGGAAACUGGAAAACUUGAGUGCAGAAGAGGAAAGUGGAAUUCCAUGUGUAGCGGUGAAAUGCGCAGAGAUAUGGAGGAACACCAGUGGCGAAGGCGACUUUCUGGUCUGUAACUGACGCUGAUGUGCGAAAGCGUGGGGAUCAAACAGGAUUAGAUACCCUGGUAGUCCACGCCGUAAACGAUGAGUGCUAAGUGUUAGGGGGUUUCCGCCCCUUAGUGCUGCAGCUAACGCAUUAAGCACUCCGCCUGGGGAGUACGACCGCAAGGUUGAAACUCAAAGGAAUUGACGGGGACCCGCACAAGCGGUGGAGCAUGUGGUUUAAUUCGAAGCAACGCGAAGAACCUUACCAAAUCUUGACAUCCUUUGACAACUCUAGAGAUAGAGCCUUCCCCUUCGGGGGACAAAGUGACAGGUGGUGCAUGGUUGUCGUCAGCUCGUGUCGUGAGAUGUUGGGUUAAGUCCCGCAACGAGCGCAACCCUUAAGCUUAGUUGCCAUCAUUAAGUUGGGCACUCUAAGUUGACUGCCGGUGACAAACCGGAGGAAGGUGGGGAUGACGUCAAAUCAUCAUGCCCCUUAUGAUUUGGGCUACGCACGUGCUACAAUGGACAAUACAAAGGGCAGCGAAACCGCGAGGUCAAGCAAAUCCCAUAAAGUUGUUCUCAGUUCGGAUUGUAGUCUGCAACUCGACUACUUGAAGCUGGAAUCGCUAGUAAUCGUAGAUCAGCAUGCUACGGUGAAUACGUUCCCGGGUCU